rnacentral:lncRNA from 1 species
GGGCAGCAUGCUCAGCUCCCGGGCGCGGGGGCUUUGCACAAAUUAAGCAGUUUUUCGGAGGGGCAGGGGAUACCCUUUCCAGGUGAGUAUGGAAGGUGCGUAGUCCCAGCGCGAGGGGCGCGGGCUGGGGUCUGGGGCAGCCCCCCCUCCAAGGCUGCGCGGGAGUCCAGCGGGGGAGAAGCGCUGGGAGUGGAAAUGUACCGGCAGCAGCCCGAGCGGCGGGUGCGCGCCCGCGGGGCGACGGCAGGGGGCGUGGCCCUUGUUUACCUUCUCCCAACUCUGCUGGUUCGCGUCCCGCUCCGGGGACGGUUCUGCAGUCCCUUACCCUUCGCCUCCGCCCCUGCGCCCUAGGUGGUACUGGGUAGAUGUAGGCAAGUGGCGGCCCGAGCCUGGGACUCACACACCUGACCCCCAAAAUGAGUGACAUUGCAGCCCCCGCCCCCACCAGGCACCGCUGCAGUCCCUCUCCCGGAUCCCCGGCCCCGCCCCGCCCCCGGCAGUGGCAUCUUCCCGGCCUCACCUCCUUCCUCCCUCUCUCCCUCCCUCCUUCCCACCCACUCGCCUGCGCCUGCGGAGCGGCUCCUGCCCGCCUCCUCCCCGCCUGGGUGCAGACUUGUGGCUCCCUCCGGUGCCUUCCCGCUUAUCUCCGAGCCCUGAGACUCUCUCUUCUCCAGGCCAAAGGACGAGAGGGGGUCAGCUCGGUGAUUCGUAGCUGUGAUGUCAGAAAAGGGGAAUGUCUGCGAACCAGGCAGGAAGCCUUCACUGUAGCUUCCAGAGGGCCAGGACGCCCACCCUCCCCCAACACACACCCAGUCCGCCACUUCACACUGCACCCCCCCACCCCGCCCCAAGGGGCUCGACUCGCCUCACCCGCUCCCUAGGCCCCUCCCCCAGCCCCGGGCAUCCAGGCCACCUCCCGGCGCCACCCCCGGUCCGAACCGUCUCUUGCCCUUCCUUCGCCUGGGCCAGAGCCCCCCGCAGCCACCUCCGGCUCCUCCUCCCGGCUCCCUCGGUCGGAAUCGCGCCGGCGUGCUUCCAGCUUGCUGUCCCGCAGGCUGCCUUUAGGGGCAGGCUGGAGGCCCGCGCCACCCCCUCCCGAUCGUCUUAGCCUCUGCUGUGGGCCGGGACGUUUUUCCUUAGCACCUUGGCCGCAGGUCUCAGGUCCUAGGCGGGUGGGGCGGGGUGGGCUGCGUUUCCCUUUGCUCGGUGCCAAGGGUACCCUGCAUCCCGCGCCUCUGGCUUCUGCACAUUUCCAAACCUUCUUGCUGCGCUUAGCAUUCCCUCCUACCCCCUUCCCGCCUUCCCUUUGUGUUCCUAGACACAAAGUUUCAUUUAGGGUCCGAGUUUGCAGGAGGUCGUCAGGAGGCAUCGUGUCUGCAGUCUGAGCUGAGGAGUUGAGGCAGCACGACUGACCUGCCACCUUGCCUUUGUUGCAAGGGGGAGGAGCCCUGAGCUUUGAAACUGGACAAGCUCUCAGGAGGUCCCUUUGACGGUUAGGUUUGCACACUGAGUCUUGGGCCUGGGUGGUGGUAGGGCCCCCUGGCCCCUCUUCCUAAGGUGGCUUUUACUCCCGCCCUUUACUGGUAAAAUUCCCAGUAGGACAGUUGGCAGACGAGCUGGGCAGGGAGCUGCCAACCAGACCUGGCCCUGUUUCCUGGGUUCCUAGGGUGCUGACUUCUCCCCUACCUCCACUUCCUCUCCCACCUUAGAGCCCCAAGUGAUGGCACCAUCUCUCCUGUCCCGUCUUCCUCAGGCGGGUUGGGACUCGCAGAGCGAUCUAACAAGCAGAGGAGGAAAAUAACAACAGAAUAACUGUAAAGGGAAGGAAUGAGUAAUAAAGCCAACCCAGGCAGGGAGGAGGGCUUUCAUGUUUAAGAGAUGCUAUUUGCUUUUUAGGUCAUAGGCUGCAAAAACAGGCUUUGAUCCGAAGUGGGCGAAUAAUUUAUUGAGAAAGUUUGCGUGGUAGGGAAGAAAAGGGAUGUUUGUUUGAUCUGGAGGCCUCUCGGUUGUCCCAAGUGCUGUUGGCUGUUGUUUCGAGUGGAAAAGCAUUUGGUUCCACAGCAAAUGCCUCCCGGAGGGAAGUCCUUGCCCCAGGCAGCCAGAGCAGUGAAUGUUGGUUUUGAAACUGUUUAGCCAAGGGUCUCCCCAGCACUUUUGGAGCUGAAGUGUUUAAGAGUCGAGUUGUUUGGGCUCAGGAUGCAGCAAAUAUUUCCAGAACAUUUCCCAUCUAACAUGCUUUUCCUUUCCCUAAAUUGCCUGGCUAAACAGCCAAUAGCCCUGAUCCAAGAGGCUGUCGGAAGUCUCCACUUAGCUUUCAUUGACAGCUGAGGUGGCACUGCUGACCCCCAACCCCCAGGUCCUCUCAGAAUCUUGAGGUCAGGCUUUCAACCCUGGUUUCCACGUUCUUGAGGUUGAGCGCAGGGUAUUCUGGUGAAUCGCUGUGCCCGUUAACGCCGAGGUACUUGUCUUUACAGCCAAGAACCAAGUCAGAGGCUUCCAGUCCAAAUUCUUCCCAGCUUAUCCAGCAGGCAGGCUCUUUGUGGGCCUCACAGUUCUCCCUUUGGGUUCUCUGCCGGAAGGCCAGGGCAGAGUUGGGGGGCGGGGGGCUGCCUGGCUUGUCCUGUCCUCCACACGGGAACGUCACUGCGUAGCUCAGCGUUCAGGAACCCAAGAGGGUUCUCAGACAAUCCACAGGAAUCCGGAGUAGCCCAGCCAGAUUCUGGUUUCGUAGGCCUGUGCACUGCACACUCUGGCCCCUGCGGGGGUGGGGUGGAGGCGGGGAGGGGGGGCCCACAACGUUAUUUGGGGUCAGGCAGUCUAGCUUUGAAUGCUGGCUUUGCAGUCACCAGCUGCGGCAGUUGCUCCAUGCCUCAAUUUCUCUAUCUGCACUUGGGCCUAAUAACAGUACCUCUCUCGUGGUGGGUGUCUGGAUUAAGUGCUACGUUGCAAGAAGAAGACUAAACCCGAAGCCAGGCCUGUGCUGACCUUUGAUCUCUCCCUCCAGGCUAGGCCAGAGAGCCAGCUCCCUUCUCUAAAGAAGGGAUCAGAGGACCCUGCACUUGCCAAUGGGCAGCCAUCCGUGGGAGCGAGCGGACUGAACUUUGCCCUCUCUGAGGUGGAAAGUAGGGUGAGACGGUGCCAAAGGACAAAGUAGACAAAGCCCAUUUCUGUCUCCCAGGAUCCCCUUGGUAUGUCCCCAGAACUGGGAGCAGAGGGUGGGUGUGGGCAUAGUGUUCGAGGGAUCUGGGUGCCCCUUGGGACACUUGCAGUGGGCAGUGAUGGGUGUUGGAGGAGGGCUCAGGCUCCCCUGUGCGUGCGGAAGCAAAUCUGAGCAUCUGUGUGUCACGAACUCAUUUUUGCCACGGCAGCUAGUGUCCCUGAGAAGGCGUUAAAGUUAACAAGAGAUAGGAAAGAGUGGGGCUCUGACCCCCGUUUUUUAUACAGCUUUAAGAGUGUGCCACUCUUGUUUUCUGAACGUCUGGCCUUCCCGACUCAAGCAGGCUCUGAGGACGGGUUUUCCAGCCGAAAUAUCAUUAAAUUGUAUUAGCAUCUUAUUACACACACGCCUUAGCGGUCUGCCUCAGACAGGGAGAGUUUUUGUUUCUCUUUGAAAGAUUGUGUCUGGAAUGGUAAAUUGCCUGCUUGAAAGCCUCCCCCUGGCUCCCCCCUUCUAAGGAGGAGGACGAAAUCCUGCUGUGUGUGGUGGCAGGCGGGUAGGCCUGGUGGCCCCCAGAGAGGAGAGGCCGGAGGCCAGGUUGGGGUGUUUUAACUGCCCAGGGAGCUGCUGCAGUCGCAGGCCUGAAAGGCCCACUGUUUCCAGGGUCAGCUGGAAGGGCGUUCAUGGAGGCCCAGGGUGUUUAUUUGAGUUUAUUUGCGGAGAGGUCUUUAAAGGGGGCUGGCAUUGGGCAUGGGUAUUGCAAGUCCAGACCCGAGGCCCCCACUCAGACCAGUGGCCAGUGCUGCCAAGAAAACAUCUGCCACCAAAUUGCUGCCCUAUUACUGAGUUGACAUUGAUCAUUAGCCAGGAGCCCAACCAAAUAAAGCCUCCUGGAAAAUGUGUGAGGUUAAGAUGGGGAAGGCAGGCUGUGCAAACAGGACAAAAUGUUGAGCCGGGGUGUUUGCUCCCGCAAGCGGCGAGCAGGCCGGCUGGGCUCUGUUGCCCCACACUUCCAGAGGGUGGGGACAGGAGCACACCCAGCACGCCAUGUGUACCAAGCCCCUUUUAUACGCUGGGUGCAACUCCAGGGGGCACUGGGGCGCCAGCAGGGAUCCAAAUGGUUGUGCUUUUUACUGUGGCGGAAUGUACAUUCCCAAGGAGGACAUUCAACAAGUAGAUCAACAAACACAGAUUGUGACGGUUGUUCUGAAGAAGCUGAGUAACAGGGCGGUGGGCUUUCCGUAAAUAAAGCAGCUGGCAUCAACCUCUGUGCCAUCUGAGCUGAAACUUGAAGAAUGGAGAGUCAGACGGGCCUAGACUGCAUGGAAUAUGACAGGCAGAGCGCACACCUGAGCACAGGUCUUGAACCCAUGGACUCUUGGAUUGUUAGAGGGAGGCCAGUUUCGCUGGGAAAGGGAGUGGUGGUCAGUACGCGGGAGCCAGGGGCCGGGUCAUGUGGGGUCUUAUGGUCAGAAGCUGGAGUGUUGUCUUUUGAUCAGCAGGAAGCCUUUGAAGGAUUUUAAAUAGGGCAUGACAUGAUCUGAUUCAUGCUUUUUGAAGAUCAUUCAGGCUGCUGUGUGCCUCCUGGAUUAUAAGAAGAUGAUAGUGGAAGCUGGGAGAUGAAUGAGGGGUCCUGCGGGAGAUGAGACGGGCCUGCACCAGUGCGGUGGCCCUAGAGAUGGGGGACUCCUGGGGUGUGCUGGGGGGAGCGCCCUCUGGACUUGCCAAGGGUGGGUGGAGGGGCAGAGGAGGCACAGUGAGGCUGUGGGGCUGCUGCUCGUGGAGGGGGAUCUAGAACUGCCACACUCCCGAAGGAGAGCUGUGUGUGUCUCCAGCUGGGGUGGUGCCUGAGUGCCAGUGCGCUGGAGCCAGAGACACUUUCUUUCCCAGCUGCCUUUGUGGGGUAGGAUUUCAGGAGCACUUUUCUGUCCCUCUAAGCAGGCACCUUGUGACCCUGAGGGCUUCUCCCGUAGCAGACCUUUGCUUUGGGACAGAUUGGAGGAGCCGGGGGAGGGAAACCAGAGGUGGGGACCGAAUCUCGGCACUCCCUCUCCCAGCUGCAUGUGCAGCCCGGGAUGUGCAGCUUUGGGAAAAGAAUCCUCCCCGACCCCUCUGCUGGGUUGGAGACGGGGUCCAAGGGGCAAAGGGCUGUCCCACAGGGGAGCUCAGACCUCCUGAGGGGCUUCUUAGCCACUGGCAGUAGAGGCUCACCUGAGGCAGGGAGGCCUUUGGAACAGACUUGUUUCAAAGGAAAGCAGCAAAGCGGUGGCUUCCCUCUGAAACCUAGUUAUUAUUCCAAUUAAGCCACCACAAAAUCUGUUCCUUUAAUAACACCCUGCCCGGGAGGACUCUGGGGUGUUUCACGGAGGGCAGGUUGGACAGGGAGCUGGCUGGGGGGCGGGUGCAGGUCUGCACGCCGACAGGUUACUGGUCCUGGGCAGCAGGAACCCGCGUGACGAGCAGGGCAUUGGCAGGCAAGGUGUCCCGCUGUGGGGCACCUUCCUCACCAUAGAGGCCCGCUGCCUCACUGAGGAGCCCACCCUCAGGUGGGCCCUGGUCGGAGGACUGCCCGCCCGGCCUGAGUCGGCCGUGGUGUUAAUAACCAGCACCCAUACGGGGUGCCAACCGCUGUGCUAAGGGUUUUAUGCGGCUCUCACUUACUCACCAGCUGAUUCUGGCCCACGAAUGUGUUUAGUUUGGCCCUGUCGAAGUGUUUGAAAAAUCCUGAAUCAGUUGCCAACAUUUUAAGUUCAGGAGAUGUAUGUAAAAAUCCAGAUCCAGUUUGUGUCCUUUGGGAGGUAUGUCUGGUGCGGAGUGAAGGUGGGAUUGAACUUGACCUCCCUGAAUCCAGAGCUGCUGCUUUUAAGCCAUGGGAGAGCCUGGCUUGGAAGCGCCCUGUUUGCUGGAAGUGGAGAGGCAAGCAGUUCAGGGAGAGGAUUGCAGGGGAAACAGGGAGAGCAUUGCAGGGGAAACAGGUGCGUGCAUUUUGAGCACCUCUUCCUCCACUCCUGCCCCAACUGUGACAGGGCUGUGUUGGCCACAUGUAGGCAAGGGUCAGAGUUGUGUUAAAGUCACCUCUGUCCCCUCAAGCCCCGGAGGACAGCAAAGAUGGGCACCUGUGGGUGGCAGAACAUUAUUGCCCCAUGCAGUCCGUGACCUGAGCCGCCGGCUGCAGCACGGAGGCAGAGGAGUCGAAAGGUCAGGAGCCCGGUCUCCUAAGGCGGACUUCUUCCGAGCACUAUUUUCCUGGCUCAGUCACUUUACUUCUGAAUUUCAUUUUCUUCUCCUGCGAGAGAGAAGCAGCCAUCAUGCCUGGCAGCACCAAAAGGCUGUUCUGAGGUCUCGGUGAGGGGAGGUCUCUUCGUAUCAGCACGCCCUUCUCCCCGAGCCGUGGGCGUGUAGCAAUUUGAGCCCUCUUUCCUGCCUCCCCGACGGCCGCGGUGCUCCGCGCCCGGUAUCCCUCUACCUCCACACCCUCCACGGAGCCCAUGGCCUGCAUCCUUGGAGCUGGGCAGUGAGCAGCCCCAACGAGCCUUCCUGUCCUCCUGAGCCUGCUGUUGGGGGACCCGGGCGGAGAGAAGCUCCUGGUUAAGGUCAAGUUCGAGGCAGGAGGGUCUUUCUAGGUAGCUCAGCGUUCUGAGUGGUCAUACCCCACCUUAGAGAGCCAGUGCUCGCCGGUUUCUGCAAGGCCACAGUAAAAUAAGGUGAAUCCCAGGGCUUGGCAGAAGCAGACUUGGGGUGACAGCAGGUGGCAAAUGAGAUUCUGAGGUGGGGAGGAGCCCGGCUGGCCCGCCACUGGGAUGAGCCCUGCGGCCUUCUCCCCACUGCCACGGGCUCCGUGUCCUUCGCUGUGGACAGUGAGGCAACCCCGUUCCAGACAGGAUCAUGGAGGAAAGCUCUCUGGGUCCCGAGCCCCAGCUCUGUUCUCCCACUCGGACUUAGCCACUGACGAGCUGUGAGACCUGGGAGCGGGUUACCAAGCCAUUCAGUGGGCUCCCCUCCCAGAGGGCACAAGGGCAGGCUCUGCCACCCAGGACUCGGCAGGAUUAGGGGAAAUAGUGGGUGGGAAAGCACUUCCAACAGGCAGGAGCUGACAAGGGCACAAAGGCAGCUCAGUGUGGACUCGGGGAUCAGACCACGUGGAUUCAAAUCCCAGUUCAGCCAGUCAUGGGCAGGACAAGGCACCGAGCCUCCUCAGCAAAUGAGGCUGAGAGCUCACACCUCACUGGGUCGUUAGGAACAUGAGCCGGCCUGGCCGCGUGCGUGGGGAAGGGCUCCGUGUGGGCGGGCUGCCCUUCCUUCCCUGAAGCUCAGUACUCUGGUGGAGAUAAAGUUGGUCUGUGCUUUUACCUGGAGAAGGACACUGGGGAGAGAGGAGGCCGGCCAGCCCUGUCACCCUGGGCCCGGUGUCUCGGGGACCCAGCUUAGAGCCUCCCUGCCACCACCCCAUUCCACUGCCCUCUGGCUGCCCCUUUCAGGAUGUGGCCUCAGUGCUGUCUGGGCUAGCUUGUCCCCUGCCCCAGAUUCCUGGUCCUCCCGGAAGAAUCAGCCUUGUGCCCUGUGCCCUCCCUGCUCGGCACCCAGCUGGGCACCCUUUGGGGUGGAUCCUCUGGUGGGCCUGAGCGGCCUUGAGUAGAAGCUGCAACUGCUCUGAGUUCCCGUCGUGGCUCAGUGCUUAAAGAAGCUGACUGUGACCCAUGAGGGUGCGGGUUCGAUCUCUGGCCUCAGUAGGUUAAGGAUCUGGCAUUGCCGUGAGCUGUGGUAUAGGUCGCAGACACGGCUUGGAUCUGGCGUUGCUGUGACUGUGGUGUAGGCCAGCGUCUACAGCUCCGAUUCGACCCCUAGC